CGUCGCUGAGGGGCUUGCCUGAAGCGAGGGGAUUCUAACAUUUUCAGAGAACCUUUUGGAAAGAACAAGUCUACUUCAAUAAAUGAAGGAGAAUAAAGAAAAUUCAAGCCCUUCAGUAACUUCAGCAAACCUGGACCACACAAAGCCAUGUUGGUACUGGGAUAAGAAAGACUUGGCUCAUACACCCUCACAACUUGAAGGACUUGAUCCAGCCACCGAGGCCCGGUACCGCCGAGAGGGCGCUCGGUUCAUCUUUGAUGUGGGCACACGUUUGGGGCUACACUAUGAUACCCUGGCAACUGGAAUAAUUUAUUUUCAUCGCUUCUAUAUGUUUCAUUCCUUCAAGCAAUUCCCAAGAUAUGUGACAGGAGCCUGUUGCCUCUUUCUGGCUGGGAAAGUAGAAGAAACACCAAAAAAAUGUAAAGAUAUCAUCAAAACAGCUCGUAGUUUAUUAAAUGAUGUACAAUUUGGCCAGUUUGGAGAUGACCCAAAGGAGGAAGUAAUGGUUCUGGAGAGAAUCUUACUGCAGACCAUCAAGUUUGAUUUACAGGUAGAACAUCCAUACCAGUUCCUACUAAAAUAUGCAAAGCAACUCAAAGGUAAGAAGAAAGUUUUCAGAAGAAUUUUUUCAUUCUGAAAUCAAGUCUUUAUAAUUUGAUGACACUCAAAUUAUGCUUCUCAAAAGAGGAAAACAAAGUUUGAUGUGUAAAAUACCAAGGACAUGGCUUGUUCAGUCAAUUCAGUAUU
rnacentral:sRNA from 1 species